rnacentral:rRNA from 1 species
AUCUUGCGCAAUGGCCGAAAGGCUGACGCAGCGACGCCGCGUGGAGGAUGAAGCCCUUCGGGGCGUAAACUCCUGUUGCCCGGGAAGAAUCUCCCUUUUUGAAGGGAUUGACGGUACCGGGUGAGGAAGCACCGGCUAACUCUGUGCCAGCAGCCGCGGUAAUACAGAGGGUGCGAGCGUUGUCCGGAAUCACUGGGCGUAAAGGGCGAGUAGGCGGCUUCUUAAGCGUGCGGUGAAAGCUCGGGGCUCAACCCCGAGUCGGCCGUGCGAACUGGGAGGCUUGAGCACGGUAGAGGCACAUGGAAUUCCGGGUGUAGCGGUGGAAUGCGUAGAGAUCCGGAGGAACACCGGUGGCGAAGGCGGUGUGCUGGGCCGUAGCUGACGCUGAAUCGCGACAGCGUGGGGAGCAAAC